rnacentral:lncRNA from 1 species
CCCAUCCACCUUAUGUCCCAAAACCACCAGUUGUGCCAGUUACACCACCAUAUGUUCCAAAACCACCAAUUGUGAACCCUCCCUAUGUCCCAAAACCGCCUGUUGUGCCAGUUACACCACCUUAUAUCCCUAAACCACCAGUUGUGACACCACCAUAUGUCCCUAAACCACCAGUGGUGCCAGUUACACCACCAUAUGUCCCUAAACCACCAGUGGUGCCAGUUACACCACCUUAUGUGCCAAAACCACCCAUUGUGAAACCACCAAUUGUUUAUCCACCAGUUGUGCCAAAACCACCAAUUGUUACACCACCUUAUGUGCCAAAACCACCCAUUGUGAAACCACCAAUUGUUUAUCCACCAGUUGUGCCAAAACCACCAAUUGUUACACCACCUUAUGUGCCAAAACCACCCAUUGUGAAACCACCAAUUGUUUAUCCACCAGUUGUGCCAACACCACCUAUUGUGUAUCCACCUGUUGUACCAACUCCAC